rnacentral:tRNA from 1 species
GGGCCCGUAGCUCAAUGGCAGAGCGCGCGGCUCAUAACCGCUCGGUUGUCGGUUCGACUCCGGCCGGGCCCA